rnacentral:rRNA from 1 species
GUGCCAGCAGCCGCGGUAAUACGGAGGGUGCAAGCGUUAAUCGGAAUUACUGGGCGUAAAGCGCGCGUAGGUGGCUUGAUAAGCCGGUUGUGAAAGCCCCGGGCUCAACCUGGGAACGGCAUCCGGAACUGUCAGGCUAGAGUGCAGGAGAGGAAGGUAGAAUUCCCGGUGUAGCGGUGAAAUGCGUAGAGAUCGGGAGGAAUACCAGUGGCGAAGGCGGCCUUCUGGACUGACACUGACACUGAGGUGCGAAAGCGUGGGUAGCAAACAGGAUUAGAUACCCUGGUAGUCCACGCCGUAAACGAUGUCGACCAGCCGUUGGGUGCCUAGCGCACUUUGUGGCGAAGUUAACGCGAUAAGUCGACCGCCUGGGGAGUACGGCCGCAAGGUUAAAACUCAAAUGAAUUGACGGGGGCCCGCACAAGCGGUGGAGCAUGUGGUUUAAUUCGAUGCAACGCGCAGAACCUUACC